UACAGAGGUCUCAAGCGUUGUUCGGAUUCAUUGGGCGUAAAGGGUGCGUAGGUGGCGUCGUAAGUCAGGUGUGAAAUCUCGGAGCUUAACUCCGAAACUGCAUUUGAUACUGCGGUGCUUGAGGACUGGAGAGGAGACUGGAAUUUACGGUGUAGCAGUGAAAUGCGUAGAGAUCGUAAGGAAGACCAGUGGCGAAGGCGGGUCUCUGGACAGUUCCUGACACUGAGGAGCGAAAGCCGGUGGGGAGCGAAACAG
rnacentral:rRNA from 1 species